UUCGACAACAGAAAGAUGAGCAUGGGUUU
rnacentral:piRNA from 1 species